rnacentral:rRNA from 1 species
AACGAACGCUGGCGGCGUGCCUAACACAUGCAAGUCGAACGGAGAUAAGAAGCUUGCUUCUUAUCUUAGUGGCGCACGGGUGAGUAACGCGUGGAUAAUCUACCUGAUGCUCUGGGAUAACAUCUCGAAAGGGGUGCUAAUACCGGAUAAGCCCACGAGAUCUUCGGAUCAUGCGGGAAAAGGAGGGGACCUUCGGGCCUUCCGACAUCAGAUGAGUCCGCGUCCCAUUAGCUAGUUGGCGGGGUAAUGGCCCACCAAGGCUACGAUGGGUAGCUGGUCUGAGAGGAUGAUCAGCCACACUGGAACUGAGACACGGUCCAGACUCCUACGGGAGGCAGCAGUGGGGAAUUUUGCGCAAUGGGGGAGACCCUGACGCAGCAACGCCGCGUGAGUGAUGAAGGCUUUCGGGUCGUAAAGCUCUGUCAGAAGGGAAGAAAUGUAGGUGGCUAAUAUCCAUUCUACUUGACGGUACCUUCAAAGGAAGCACCGGCUAACUCCGUGCCAGCCGCCGCCGUAAAAC